UUAAGUUCAGCGGGUAUUCCUACCUGAUCCGAGGUCAACCUUGUGUGGUAAAAAGUGUCCCGGGUGAGGGGACGGCGACCGGGUCUGGAGUGCUGGCCUAGUACGUGCCCGAAAGCUCAGUGUACAGGAGUCCUCACAGACGCCGUCAUUAUCUUUGAGACGGGCGGGGCGAGGCCGAGGCCGCCGCCGCCGCGUCCAAC
rnacentral:misc_RNA from 1 species